rnacentral:lncRNA from 1 species
CGCUGCCACCGUUUUCGAUGACGAAGGUCCACUUUGGUUAUUGUUGUUGGGGCUCACAGUUUUGGCGAAGAAGUCAUUGCCUUUCCACAAGAGUGCGCUCGUUGCCGCGACGUGGUUCUGGGGAGGGUGACUCGGCAGACCGUCCUUGGGGAAGCCGAUCAUGUCCAUGCCGGAGGCCAAGUUGAAGAUCUCCGAGCCGGAGUCGUAACUCGGGAUUUGACUCACCAGAUGGGGCUGAGCCUGGAUCGCCGGGUUGUGAGAAGAAGACAAGUCCGAGUAGCAAAACCCACCGGUGCUUGAGGAC